AAUAAAUUACUGGACUGUGGAAA
rnacentral:piRNA from 1 species